GAUGAACGCUAGCGGGAGGCCUAACACAUGCAAGCCGAGCGGUAGAGAUCUUUCGGGAUCUUGAGAGCGGCGUACGGGUGCGGAAUACGUGUGCAACCUGCCUUUAUCAGGGGGAUAGCCUUUCGAAAGGAAGAUUAAUACCCCAUAAUAUAUUGAAUGGCAUCAUUUGAUAUUGAAAACUCCGGUGGAUAGAGAUGGGCACGCGCAAGAUUAGAUAGUUGGUAGGGUAACGGCCUACCAAGUCAGUGAUCUUUAGGGGGCCUGAGAGGGUGAUCCCCCACACUGGUACUGAGACACGGACCAGACUCCUACGGGAGGCAGCAGUGAGGAAUAUUGGACAAUGGGUGAGAGCCUGAUCCAGCCAUCCCGCGUGAAGGACGACGGCCCUAUGGGUUGUAAACUUCUUUUGUAUAGGGAUAAACCUUUCCACGUGUGGAAAGCUGAAGGUACUAUACGAAUAAGCACCGGCUAACUCCGUGCCAGCAGCCGCGGUAAUACGGAGGGUGCAAGCGUUAUCCGGAUUUAUUGGGUUUAAAGGGUCCGUAGGCGGAUCUGUAAGUCAGUGAUGAAAUCUCAUAGCUUAACUAUGAAACUGCCAUUGAUACUGCAGGUCUUGAGUAAAGUAGAAGUGGCUGGAAUAAGUAGUGUAGCGGUGAAAUGCAUAGAUAUUACUUAGAACACCAAUUGCGAAGGCAGGUCACUAUGUUUUAACUGACGCUGAUGGACGAAAGCGUGGGGAGCGAACAGGAUUAGAUACCCUGGUAGUCCACGCCGUAAACGAUGCUAACUCGUUUUUGGGUUUUCGGAUUCAGAGACUAAGCGAAAGUGAUAAGUUAGCCACCUGGGGAGUACGUUCGCAAGAAUGAAACUCAAAGGAAUUGACGGGGGCCCGCACAAGCGGUGGAUUAUGUGGUUUAAUUCGAUGAUACGCGAGGAACCUUACCAAGGCUUAAAUGGGAAUUGACAGGUUUAGAAAUAGACUUUUCUUCGGACAAUUUUCAAGGUGCUGCAUGGUUGUCGUCAGCUCGUGCCGUGAGGUGUUAGGUUAAGUCCUGCAACGAGCGCAACCCCUGUCACUAGUUGCCAUCAUUCAGUUGGGGACUCUAGUGAGACUGCCUACGCAAGUAGAGAGGAAGGUGGGGAUGACGUCAAAUCAUCACGGCCCUUACGCCUUGGGCCACACACGUAAUACAAUGGCCGGUACAGAGGGCAGCUACCUAGCGAUAGGAUGCGAAUCUCGAAAGCCGGUCUCAGUUCGGAUUGGAGUCUGCAACUCGACUCUAUGAAGCUGGAAUCGCUAGUAAUCGCAUAUCAGCCAUGAUGCGGUGAAUACGUUCCCGGGCCU
rnacentral:rRNA from 1 species